GGGGCGGUGGCGUAGUUGGGAGCGCGUCAGACUGAAGCUAUAACUUCAUUCAAGCAACUUGGUUGUGAUCUGAAGGUCACCGGUUCGAUCCCGGUUCACCCCA
rfam:Nectria haematococca mpVI 77-13-4 chromosome 1 genomic scaffold NECHAsca_1_chr1_3_0, whole genome shotgun sequence.